rnacentral:rRNA from 1 species
UACGGGGGGGGCAAGCGUUGUUCGGAAUUACUGGGCGUAAAGGGCUCGUAGGCGGCUAACUAAGUCAGACGUGAAAUCCCUCGGCUUAACCGGGGAACUGCGUCUGAUACUGGAUGGCUUGAGUUUGGGAGAGGGAUGCGGAAUUCCAGGUGUAGCGGUGAAAUGCGCAGAUAUCAGGAGGAACACCGGUGGCGAAGGCGGUUCUCUGGGCAUGUCCUGACGCUGAGGAGCGAAAGUGUGGAGAGCGAACAGG